rnacentral:ncRNA from 1 species
GACCCCGCUCCGGGGUGCACGCAGUUGCGUACUGAGAUGGCCAAAUGGCCGAACCCGCGAACUUGAUCUGGUUCAUACCAGCGUAAGAAGAGCUGCGACUCCACGG